rnacentral:rRNA from 1 species
GUGGGGAAUAUUGGACAAUGGGCGAAAGCCUGAUCCAGCCAUGCCGCGUGUGUGAAGAAGGUCUUCGGAUUGUAAAGCACUUUAAGUUGGGAGGAAGGGCAGUAAGUUAAUACCUUGCUGUUUUGACGUUACCGACAGAAUAAGCACCGGCUAACUUCGUGCCAGCAGCCGCGGUAAUACGAAGGGUGCAAGCGUUAAUCGGAAUUACUGGGCGUAAAGCGCGCGUAGGUGGUUUUGUAAGUUGGAGGUGAAAUCCCUGGGCUCAACCUGGGAACUGCCUCCAAAACUGCAUGACUAGAGUACGGUAGAGGGUAGUGGAAUUUCCUGUGUAGCGGUGAAAUGCGUAGAUAUAGGAAGGAACACCAGUGGCGAAGGCGACUACCUGGACUGAUACUGACACUGAGGUGCGAAAGCGUGGGGAGCAAACAGGAUUAGAAACCCCGGUAGUCC